rnacentral:rRNA from 1 species
UGGGGAAUAUUGCACAAUGGGCGCAAGCCUGAUGCAGCCAUGCCGCGUGUGUGAAGAAGGCCUUCGGGUUGUAAAGCACUUUCAGUCAGGAGGAAAGGUUAGUAGUUAAUACCUGCUAGCUGUGACGUUACUGACAGAAGAAGCACCGGCUAACUCCGUGCCAGCAGCCGCGGUAAUA